rfam:Triticum aestivum genome assembly, contig: Triticum_aestivum_CS42_TGACv1_scaffold_061579_1DL
AACGUACUCCCUCCGUCCGGAAAAACUUGUCCCAAGCUUGACCCUCAAAUGGAUGUAUCUAGCACUAACUUGUUGAUAGAUAUAUCCAUUUGAGGGACAAGCUUUUUCGGGCGAAGGGAGUAGUAG